UGUGAGGCAGGAAGACUGAGUCAGCCUGAAC
rnacentral:piRNA from 1 species